GGAAUAUUGGGCAAUGGGCGAAAGCCUGACCCAGCGACGCCGCGUGAGGGAUGAAGGUCUUCGGAUUGUAAACCUCUUUCAGUAGGGAAGAAGCGAAAGUGACGGUACCUAAAGAAGAAGCACCGGCUAACUAUGUGCCAGCAGCCGCGGUAAUACAUAGGGUGCAAGCGUUGUCCGGAAUUAUUGAGCGUAAAGAGCUCGUAGGUCGUUUGUCGCGUCGAUUGUGAAAAUCUGAGGCUCAACCUCAGACCUGCAGUCGAUACGGGCAAACUAGAGUGUGGUAGGGGAGACUGGAAUUCCUGGUGUAGCGGUGGAAUGCGCAGAUAUCAGGAGGAACACCAAUGGCGAAGGCAGGUCUCUGGGCCAUAACUGACACUGAGGAGCGAAAGUGCGGGGAGCGAACAGGAUUAGAUACCCUGGUAGUCCGCACCGUAAACGGUGGGCACUAGUUGUGGGAACCUUCCACGGUUUCCGCGACGCAGCAAACGCAUUAAGUGCCCCGCCUGGGGAGUACGAUCGCAAGAUUAAAACUCAAAUGAAUUGACGG
rnacentral:rRNA from 1 species